rnacentral:rRNA from 1 species
UGGGGACACUGUUGGGACCGCCUCUGCUAAAGAGGAGGAAGGAAUGGGCAACGGUAGGUCAGCAUGCCCCGAAUUAUCCGGGCUACACGCGGGCUACAAUGGUCAGGACAAUGGGUAUCGACACCGAGAGGUGGAGGCAAUCUCCUAAACCUGUCCUUAGUUCGGAUUGUGGGCUGCAACUCGCCCACAUGAAGCUGGAAUCCGUAGUAAUCGCGUUUCAAAAUAGCGCGGUGAAUAUGUCCCUGCUCCUU